GGAAAAUGAAUCUGAAAAAGACUGGAGGAUACACUUCCCAGCAAAACUAAGAAAUCAUGCUAAAGUAAAAGAGACAUAUUAAGCACAGCACUCACAAAUCCACAAUACAGAACAUAUCAAUUGUUGGUGUGAUUUAGGAGAAUAGGCUACCAUGCUGGAAACUCUAGCAUUUCAACAAGUUUCACAAGCAACUGAUACAGUGUGGAGUU
rnacentral:misc_RNA from 1 species